UGGCGGCGGCCUAACCAUGCAAGUCCAGCGGACACCGCAAGGUGUCAGCGGCAGACGGGAGAGUAACACGUGGGAACGUGCCCUUCGGUUCGGAAUAACUCGGGGAAACUCGAGCUAAUACCGAAUACGCCCUUACGGGGAAAGAUUUAUCGCCGAUGGAGCGGCCCGCGUCUGAUUAGCUAGUUGGUGAGGUAACGGCUCACCAAGGCGACGAUCAGUAGCUGGUCUGAGAGGAUGAUCAGCCUCACUGGGACUGAGACACGGCCCAGACUCCUACGGGAGGCAGCAGUGGGGAAUAUUGGACAAUGGGCGCAAGCCUGAUCCAGCCAUGCCGCGUGGAUGAUGAAGGCCUUAGGGUUGUAAAGUCCUUUUAACGGGGAAGAUAAUGACGGUACCCGUAGAAUAAGCCCCGGCUAACUUCGUGCCAGCAGCCGCGGUAAU
rnacentral:rRNA from 1 species